rnacentral:rRNA from 1 species
CCUACGGGUGGCAGCAGUAGGGAAUAUUGCUCAAUGGGGGAAACCCUGAAGCAGCAACGCCGCGUGGAGGAUGACGGUUUUCGGAUUGUAAACCCCCUUUGUUAGAGAAGAUAAUGACGGUAUCUAACGAAUAAGCACCGGCUAACUCCGUGCCAGCAGCCGCGGUAAUACGGAGGGUGCAAGCGUUACUCGGAAUCACUGGGCGUAAAGAGCGCGUAGGCGGGAUAGCAAGUCAGAUGUGAAAUCCUAGGGCUUAACCAUAGAACUGCAUUUGAAACUGUUAUUCUAGAGUAUGGGAGAGGUAGGUGGAAUGCUUGGUGUAGGGGUAAAAUCCGUAGAGAUCAAGAGGAAUACUCAUUGCGAAGGCGACCUGCUAGAACAUAACUGACGCUGAUGCGCGAAAGCGUGGGGAGCAAACAGGAUUAGAUACCCCGGUAGUC